UACGGAGGAUGCAAGCGUUAUCUGGAUUUAUUGGGUUUAAAGGGUGCGCAGGUUGUUUGAUAAGUCAGUGGUGAAAGUCUGUCGCUUAACGGUAGGAUUGCCAUUGAUACUGUUAGACUUGAAUAUGGAUGAGGUAGGCGGAAUGUGUAGUGUAGCGGUGAAAUGCAUAGAUAUUACACAGAACACCGAUUGCGAAGGCAGCUUACUAAUCCAUCAUUGACGCUGAGGCGCGAAAGCGUGGGGAU
rnacentral:rRNA from 1 species